CACCCCUCUGUGCCAGUGGGCACUGGGGAACUCCUGGCACUGAAGAGAAGUCACCCAGUAACUCCAGAGCAAAACUUUGUAAAGAAAUGAAGUGUGUGUACAGAUUUGGAGGAGAAGCAGAGGUGAGCAUUAUAACCCUGCAGGACACACAGAGGAGGUGGACAGAUUGCCAG